rnacentral:rRNA from 1 species
UGGGGGAAUAUUGGGACAAUGGGGGCAACCCUGAUCCAGCCAUGCCGCGUGAGUGAUGAAGGCCUUCGGGUUGUAAAGCUCUUUUGGCGGGGUACGAUGAUGACGGUACCCGCAGAAUGAGCCCCGGCUAACUUCGUGCCAGCAGCCGCGGUAAGACGAAGGGGGGUCUAGCGUUGUUCGGAAUUACUGGGCGUAAAGCGAGUGUAGGCGGUUGCCGUAGUCAGGUGUGAAAGCCUUGAGCUCAACUCAAGAAAUGCACUUGAUACUGGGUGACUAGAGGACCGGAGAGGAUAGUGGAAUUCCCCAGUGUAGUGGUGAAAUACGUAGAGAUUGGGAAGAACACCAGUGGCGAAGGCGGCUAUCUGGACGGUUACUGACGCUAAGACUCG